AGAGUCGAUCGGACAGUCGCUGUUGCAUUACUUUGGUAAUGCGAGGGAGGAAAGUCCGGGCUCCGUAGGGCGAAGUGCCAGGUAACUCCUGGGAGGCGUGAGCCUAUGGAAAGUGCCGCAGAAAAUAACCGCCUAAGCACGCAAGUGCCGGUAAGGGUGAAAAGGUGCGGUAAGAGCGCACCGCACGGCUGGUAACAGUCCGUGGCUAGGUAAACCCCACUUGGAGCAAGACCAAAUAGGAGUCCAUUGGCGUGGCCCGCGCUGGACUCGGGUAGGUUGCUUGAGGUCGUCAGUGAUGGCGAUCCUAGAGGAAUGACUGUUCACGACAAAACCCGGCUUACAGAUCGACUCUCCAC
rnacentral:RNase_P_RNA from 1 species